rnacentral:lncRNA from 1 species
AAAAAAAAAAAAAAAAAAAAAAAAAAAAAAAAAAUCAAAGAAAAAUAGUUCAUAAAAAAAAAAAAAAAAGAAAAAAAAAAAAGAAUAAAAUAGGAGGAAUCAAUCUACCCAAUUCUAAGACAUUAUACAAUGGAACAGAACAGAGAACCCGAAACUAGAUCUACACCGAUACACUCAACUGCUUUCUCACAAAAGUACAAAAGCGAUUCAGUGGAGGGAAGACAGCAUGUGCCAUGAACGGUGUGGAGCAACAGGACGUCCAUAGGCAAAAAAGAUGAACCCCAAUAUAAGCCCCACACCUCAUACAAAAACUAUCUCAAAAUAGAUCAUGGGCUUCAAUGUAAAAUGUAAACUUACAAAACUUUUAGAAAAAAUGGAAGAAAAAUCUUCAGGAUCUAAGGCUAGGCAAAUCAUUCUUUGAUAUUCUAACAUCAAAGUACAAUCUAUAAGAGCAAUAACUGAUCAAUGGAACUUCACCAAAAUUAAAACCUUUUGCUCUGCAGAAGACCCCGUGAAGAAAAUGCAAAGACAAGCUACAGGAUGGGAGGAAGCAUCUGUCAGCCACAAAUCCAGCAAAGGAGAGUGUCGGGAAUAUAGAAAGAACUCUCCGAACUUAACAGGAAAAUAACAAACUGCCCAAGUAGCAAAUGGGCAAAAACAUGAAGAGACAUUUCACUAAAGAGGAUAUACAGUCGGCAAAUAAGCACAUGAAAAGAUGUUCAACGCCAUUAGCCAUUAGAGAAAUGCAAACAAAACCCACAGUGAACUAUCACGACUUGUCUAUCAAGGUGGCUAAAACAAAAUCCCAACACCAAAUGCUGGCAUGAGGGGAAACAGGGGGCAAUGUGAAAUGGUGCAGCCAGCUGGGUGUGGUGGCUCAGGCCCGUGGUCCCAGCACUCUGGGAGGCUGAGGCGGGCGGAUCACGAGGUCAAGAGAUCGAGGCCAUCCUGGCCAACAUGGUGAAGCCCCAUCGCUACUAAAAAUAAAAAAUUAGCCAGUUGUGGUGGCGCAUGCCUGUAGUCCCAGCUACUCCAGAGGCUGAGGCAGGAGAAUCGCUUGAGCCCAGGAGGCGGAGGUUGCAGUGAGCCAAGAUCACACCACUGCACUCCAGCCUGGACAACAGAGUGAGACUCCGUCACAAAAAAAAAAAAAAUGAAAGAAAAAAGAAAUGGUGCAGCCACGCUGGAAAAGUCCGAGAGUGCCUCAAAAAACUAAACGUACAACCACACUACCACCCAGCAGCUGCACUCUAGGAAUUAUUCCAGAGAAGUGGAAAGCUGUGUUCACACGCACCGGGGCCGUCCAGUCUUUUGGCUUCCCUGGGCCACAUUGGAAGAAGAAUUGCCUUGGGCCACACAUAAAAUACACUAACAAUAGUUGGUGAGCAAAAAAAAAAAAAAAUCUCACGAUGUUUUAAGAAAGCUUACGAAUUUGUGUAGGGCCACGUUCAAGCCAUCCUGGGCCACAUGCAGCCCCAGGGCUGUGGGUUGGACAAGCUUGCUGUACACCAAGGUUUACAGCAGCUUUACCUAUAAUAUCCCAAAACAGGAUAAUCAGCCUGGACAUCCUUCAACAGGUGAAUGGUUAAACAGACUGUGGCACAUGCCCGCCAUGGAACGCGGCCCUGUCACAAAGAGGAACCCACCAUAGACCCACGCAGCACCUUGUAGGAACUAGGGACUCUACUCACUGAAAAAUACCAGCCCCAAAAUGCUCCUUACUGUAUGAUUGUCUUUAUACAACACUCCUGAGAUGGCCAAACUACAGAAACUGAGAAGAGACUCACGGUUGCCAGGGAUCCAGGAGGAAGCGGGGCAGAGGGAAGGGGGUGCUGUAGGAGGGUGCCGUGCGGGGUCCCCGUGGUGACUGCAGCGAGGCACGUCCCUGUAUCUGGCUGGGAGACUGUCCUGCAGUUUCACAAGGUGCUGCCCUUGGGGAUAUUAAGUACACAGCCUCUCUUACAACUGCAUGUGAACCUAUAAUUAUCUCUAGAUAUUAAUAAAAGUUUAGUUUUUAAAAAGCUGCCUGACAGCCCUUAUGUUUUUGUUUAUGUUUUUGGGGGGGUUUU